rnacentral:rRNA from 1 species
GUGGUUAAAAAGCUCGUAGUUGGAUUUCGGCGGGUAGUGGUUGGUUUGAAUUGAUUCAACACUGACUUUUUUACCCGUGUGUUUUGCCAGAAUCUUACGGGUGAUCUUUACCGAUUGUCCGUUGGAACUGGCAGGUUUACUUUGAAAAAAUUAGAGUGCUCAAAGCAAGCUUACUGCUUGAAUAGUUGCGCAUGGAAUAAUAGAAUAGGAAGUCGUUUCUAUUUUGUUGGUUUUCGGAAAUCGACUUAAUGAUUAAUAGGGAUAGUCGGGGGCAUUCGUAUUCAAACGACAGAGGUGAAAUUCUUGGACCGUUUGAAGACGAACUAAGGCGAAAGCAUUUGCCAAGAAUGUUUUCAUUAAUCAAGAACGAAAGUUAGAGGUUCGAAGGCGAUUAGAUACCGCCCUAGUUCUAACCAUAAGCGAUGCCAGGAGUGGAGCCUGUGGCUUAAUUUGACUCAACACGGGAAAUCUCACCAGGCUCGGACACUAGAAGGGAUUGACAGAUUUAUAGCUCUUUCUUGAUUUUGGUGGGUGGUGGUGCGUGGCCGUUCUUAAGUUGGUGGAGUGA